rnacentral:rRNA from 1 species
AUUGAACGCUGGCGGCAGGCCUAACACAUGCAAGUCGAGCGGAUGAAGGGAGCUUGCUCCUGGAUUCAGCGGCGGACGGGUGAGUAAUGCCUAGGAAUCUGCCUGGUAGUGGGGGAUAACGUCCGGAAACGGGCGCUAAUACCGCAUACGUCCUGAGGGAGAAAGUGGGGGAUCUUCGGACCUCACGCUAUCAGAUGAGCCUAGGUCGGAUUAGCUAGUUGGUGGGGUAAAGGCCUACCAAGGCGACGAUCCGUAACUGGUCUGAGAGGAUGAUCAGUCACACUGGAACUGAGACACGGUCCAGAAUCCUACGGGAGGCAGCAGUGGGGAAUAUUGGACAUUGGGCGAAAGCCUGAUCCAGCCAUGCCGCGUGUGUGAAGAAGGUCUUCGGAUUGUAAAGCACUUUAAGUUGGGAGGAAGGGCAGUAAGUUAAUACCUUGCUGUUUUGACGUUACCAACAGAAUAAGCACCGGCUAGCUUCGUG